rnacentral:rRNA from 1 species
GACGAACGCUGGCGGCGUGCUUAACACAUGCAAGUCGAACGGAAAGGCCCUGCUUUUGUGGGGUGCUCGAGUGGCGAACGGGUGAGUAACACGUGAGUAACCUGCCCUUGACUUUGGGAUAACUUCAGGAAACUGGGGCUAAUACCGGAUAGGAGCUCCUGCUGCAUGGUGGGGGUUGGAAAGUUUCGGCGGUUGGGGAUGGACUCGCGGCUUAUCAGCUUGUUGGUGGGGUAGUGGCUUACCAAGGCUUUGACGGGUAGCCGGCCUGAGAGGGUGACCGGCCACAUUGGGACUGAGAUACGGCCCAGACUCCUACGGGAGGCAGCAGUGGGGAAUAUUGCACAAUGGGCGGAAGCCUGAUGCAGCAACGCCGCGUGCGGGAUGACGGCCUUCGGGUUGUAAACCGCUUUCGCCUGUGACGAAGCGUGAGUGACGGUAAUGGGUAAAGAAGCACCGGCUAACUACGUGCCAGCAGCCGCGGUGAUACGUAGGGUACGAGCGUUGUCCGGAUUUAUUGGGCGUAAAGGGCUCGUAGGUGGUUGAUCGCGUCGGAAGUGUAAUCUUGGGGCUUAACCCUGAGCGUGCUUUCGAUACGGGUUGACUUGAGGAAGGUAGGGGAGAAUGGAAUUCCUGGUGGAGCGGUGGAAUGCGCAGAUAUCAGGAGGAACACCAGUGGCGAAGGCGGUUCUCUGGGCCUUUCCUGACGCUGAGGAGCGAAAGCGUGGGGAGCGAACAGGCUUAGAUACCCCGGUAGUCCACGCUGUAAACGGUGGGUACUAGGUGUGGGGUCCAUUCCACGGGUUCCGUGCCGUAGCUAACGCUUUAAGUACCCCGCCUGGGGAGUACGGCCGCAAGGCUAAAACUCAAAGGAAUUGACGGGGCCCCGCACAAGCGGCGGAGCAUGCGGAUUAAUUCGAUGCAACGCGUAGAACCUUACCUGGGUUUGACAUGGAUCGGGAGUGCUCAGAGAUGGGUGUGCCUCUUUUGGGGUCGGUUCACAGGUGGUGCAUGGCUGUCGUCAGCUCGUGUCGUGAGAUGUUGGGUUAAGUCCCGCAACGAGCGCAACCCCUGUUCACUGUUGCCAGCACGUUAUGGUGGGGACUCAGUGGAGACCGCCGGGGUCAACUCGGAGGAAGGUGGGGAUGACGUCAAGUCAUCAUGCCCCUUAUGUCCAGGGCUUCACGCAUGCUACAAUGGCUGGUACAGAGAGUGGCGAGCCUGUGAGGGUGAGCGAAUCUCGGAAAGCCGGUCUCAGUUCGGAUUGGGGUCUGCAACUCGACCUCAUGAAGUCGGAGUCGCUAGUAAUCGCAGAUCAGCAACGCUGCGGCGAAUACGUUCCCGGGGCU